rnacentral:tRNA from 1 species
GGUUCUAUGGUGUAAUUGUUAGCACUCUGGACUCUGAAUCUAGCGAACUGAGUUCAUAUCUCAGUAGGACCU